rnacentral:rRNA from 1 species
UACGAAGGGGGCGAGCGUUGUUCGGCAUUACUGGGCGUAAAGGGCGCGCAGGCGGCUCUGAAAGUCAGAUGUGAAAGCCCCGGGCUUAACCUGGGAACUGCAUUUGAUACUCUAGAGCUUGAGUACGGGAGAGGAGAGUGGAAUUCCCAGUGUAGAGGUGAAAUUCGUAGAUAUUCGGAAGAACACCAGUGGCGAAGGCGGCUUACUGGUCCGGUACUGACGCUGAGGUGCGAAAGCGUGGGGAGCAAACAGG